AGAGUUUGAUCCUGGCUCAGAUUGAACGCUGGCGGAAUGCUUUACACAUGCAAGUCGAGCGGCAGCGCGGGGGCGACCCUGGCGGCGAGCGGCGAACGGGUGAGUAAUGUAUCGGAACGUACCCAGUCGUGGGGGAUAACUAUCCGAAAGGAUAGCUAAUACCGCAUACGUCCUGAGGGAGAAAGCGGGGGACCGUAAGGCCUCGCGCGAUUGGAGCGGCCGAUAUCGGAUUAGCUAGUUGGUGAGGUAAAGGCUCACCAAGGCGACGAUCCGUAGCUGGUCUGAGAGGACGACCAGCCACACUGGAACUGAGACACGGUCCAGACUCCUACGGGAGGCAGCAGUGGGGAAUUUUGGACAAUGGGGGCAACCCUGAUCCAGCCAUUCCGCGUGAGUGAAGAAGGCCUUCGGG
rnacentral:rRNA from 1 species